UGGGGAAUAUUGGACAAUGGAGGAAACUCUGAUCCAGCAAUUCUGUGUGUGUGAAGAAGGUUUUAGGACUGUAAAACACUUUUAGUAGGGAAGAAAAAAAUGACGGUACCUACAGAAGAAGCAACGGCUAAAUACGUGCCAGCAGCCGCGGUAAUACGUAUGUUGCGAGCGUUAUCCGGAAUUAUUGGGCUUAAAGGGCAUCUAGGCGGUAAGACAAGUUGAAGGUGAAAACCUGUGGCUCAACCAUAGGCUUGCCUACAAAACUGUUGAACUAGAGUACUGGAAAGGUGGGUGGAACUACACGAGUAGAGGUGAAAUUCGUAGAUAUGUGUAGGAAUGCCGAUGAUGAAGAUAACUCACUGGACAGAAACUGACGCUGAAGUGCGAAAGCUAGGGGAGCAAACGGG
rnacentral:rRNA from 1 species